UACGGAGGGGGCAAGCGUUACUCGGAAUUAUUGGGCGUAAAGCGCGCGCAGGCGGUCCUUUAAGUCUGAUGUGAAAGCCCACGGCUCAACCGUGGAGGGUCAUUGGAAACUGGGGGACUUGAGUACAGAAGAGAAGAGUGGAAUUCCACGUGUAGCGGUGAAAUGCGUAGAGAUGUGGAGGAACACCAGUGGCGAAGGCGACUCUUUGGUCUGUAACUGACGCUGAGGCGCGAAAGCGUGGGGAGCAAACAGG
rnacentral:rRNA from 1 species